rnacentral:rRNA from 1 species
UACGGGGGGGCAAGCGUUGUUCGGAAUUACUGGGCGUAAAGCGAGUGUAGGUGGUUGUCCAAGUUGGAUGUGAAAGCCUUGAGCUCAACUCAAGAAAUGCAUUCAGGACUGGGCGGCUAGAGGACCGGAGAGGAUAGUGGAAUUCCCAGUGUAGUGGUGAAAUACGUAGAGAUUGGGAAGAACACCAGUGGCGAAGGCGGCUAUCUGGACGGUUUCUGACACUAAGACUCGAAAGCGUGGGGAGCAAACAGG